CCCGUGUGUGGUGGCACGUAGGCGCAUCCAAAAGGAAAUGUCAGUCAGGGGACAAGCCCACUGCAGACCGUUCUAGGGCCUGCCUGGAAAUCCUUGGCCAAAACACGUGCACACACACACACACACACACAGCGGCGUAGGUGUGGUGGGUUUUCUUCAGUGGUGGGCUACAAAGCCACAAAAAGCACACACCACACCACACCGCAGCGCAGCGCAGCGCAGCAACAUGUUGACUGCAACAGCAGCUGCUUGGCUCGGCACAAAAAUUGCACACCAGAAAAAGAGAGAGGGCGAACCCCAGAGAGAGAGAGAGAGAGAGAGGGAGCAGCCGACUGCAAAAAUACAAGGCCUACAAAGCUGCCGAUGCCGCUGCUGCCGCUUUUGCCGCUUUUGCCGAGUGCCGGAGUCGAGUCGCGUCGCGGCGCGUCGAGUCGAGUGGCUUUUUUAGCCGCUAGUUUGCCAAUUGCGGCAUUCGCAUUUCGGCCUCUGUGCCGCACGGGUUGCCCCCACCAACAACAAAAAUAAAAAACCAAACAAGAAACAGUACUUGCAACAGGAAUCUCCCCCACCCCCCUCCACCCAAGAGAUUCUUUGGAGAAACGCGCAAAAAAAUUUAAAAAAAAACAUUUUCCACUAGCGACGGCAAAAAACAGUUUUGUUUUUUUUUUUAACAAACAGUGAAGCCCACAAACAAAAAACAACAACAGAUAAAAAAGAGAAGAAAAUUUGCUAAAUGAAAAACGAUUUUCCGCCAGUGGAAAAGCUCAGUGUGUGUGUUUGUGUUUGUUCGUACUGGUGCUGCGGCAUUUAUUUCUGGGAGGGGCAAAACGAGGCGGCAAACGAGGCGGCAGCAAGCGCGGCUCUACUGGCAGUCGAAACCAAAUGGAAGUCAGACAGAGAGCCGGAGGCAGGCAGCAGGCAGCAGGCGGCAGGCGGCAGGAAGACUGGAGGAAGGCAGGCACAAAGGCAACAUGUUGCACAUGCACUCGCCAAAAGCAAUUUGCAUACAAAUGUUGCCAAGGCACUUCACAGAGAAGGAGGGAGGGGGAGGGAGGGAUAGAGGAGUGCACUGCACAAUCACAAAUCGCGCUGCCAGAGAUGUGGCACGGCCCCUGCCUCCAAAGCGGAAGAGGGUAAAAGCCGCUUCAUAAUUUGAUAUUAAACAUGCACGCGCUUCUCCUUCUCUCUCUCUCUAUCCCCCUCUAUCCCCCUCUCUUUCGCUCAUAUGUAGAACUUGUAAAUUUGCAAAUUGCUAAAAUGCAUGACAGCAACAAAAGGAAGAGGGAAAUGCAGCAGCAGCAGCAGCCAAAGGGUUGGGGCAGCUGUUGCCUUGUGGCCGCCGCCAGGCACUGCGUGAAUUUGCAUUUACAUGAAGGAACGAAACGAAACGAAACGAAACGGAACCCCAGACUCAGACUCAAAGGAAGCAGCCUCAGAGCCAACCCCCUCCCCCCCAAAAAAAAACCAUGCCAUACCUCCAAAAACUCUGCUCAAUUGACUUUCAAUUGCAAAGCAAACACAGCAGCGGCAGCGGCAGCGGCAGAGGAGGAGGAGGAGGAGGAGGAGGUGGAGGAGAAGACAAAAGGCAACAAAACCAAAACCAAAACCAAACCCCUUUUUUCUCCCCGCUCUCUGACAAAUGAAUUUAUUUUCAAUCUGCCUUUUGUCCGUCCCCGUCGUAUGAUUGACAUGCUCGAUUGAUCCACAAUCCAUUGGGCGCGGGCCUUGCCGGGCAGAAGGGGUGGGGGGGGGGGGUCUUUUUUUUGGUGGCAAGUGUUUACGUUGGCUUUGCAGUUUUGUUAAUACUGCACUUGGGCUCCACGAUUUCGAGUGGCGGCGGAGAGACACCUCUUCAAAGCGAAAAAAAAACCUCUUUCUAUAUCGGAUUUACACGAAACACGCAAUUAGAAAUAUAUACAGGCACAUACUAUAUAUAUAUGUAUAUAUAUACAUAUGUAUAUAUGUGUAUAUGUAUGUGUGUAUUCUCUAUUAUAAAUCAUAUUUAUGAGACAUUUCCCCUGCGAAGGCGAAACAAACCCCCCAACAAAACAUCUGAAUGUUAAGUAGGCACGCAAUGUGAAAAGUCAGCCACGCAUGGCGGGGCAGAGAGAGAGGCAGAAUACCUCCUCAGUUUAGUUAGUAGCUCUCUACAUUCCAGGCACAAAGAUUUUCCCCCUCCCAUUAGCUUAUAAAACCUUUCUCUCGCAUUGAAUUCAUUGGAAUUGAGACUUAGUACAGCCCACCCCACCCCACCCCCCUUUUGUGGCUUAAUCACUCUUGGAACUAGCCAGUUUUCCGCGUAUUUUAGCCGAUUCAUGACGCUCUCCACGAAACAAUAAUCAAUAAGUAAAAAAAAAAAAACCAACAGGAAAGAAGAGCGAAAGCAAGAGUCACCCCGCUCUCUCUCUCUCUCACUCACUCUUACUCAACCACUGGUAUGUACGUGUGUGUGUGUGCCUGUUCCGUUUUCCGCUUUUUGUUGUUUUCUGGGUAGUUCAUAACUUUUCUCUCCCACAUGUCUGCGUCCUGGUCCUGGCCCUGUGGUGGUUCUCAGGACAGCCAUGUUUGUCCUUCACACACACAUGAUUGUAGGCGUCGCCGUGUGUGGCGGGCGGCACCCCAAAAAACAAAAAAAAAAACCACACACAGACAGGGGAGAAAAAAAAAAGAAGAAAACUGUGCCAAAAAGUUUCGAGGCAGCCCCAAAAGUUGUGGGGCUGCUGACACACAUCUUUCAGCGAAAGAUAAGGUGAAUGCGUGGCAAGUGUGAAUAUGAAUAUGAAUGCUGAAAACGCUGCCCCCCGCCCCAUAACCAAAUCAGGGCUAGGUUUCCACUGAUUUAUAGACAGAAAUAUCAUUGAAAUUCAUGGAUAAACCGUAGAAAUAUGUAUGUAUAUCUAGCCCAUGCUACAGGGCGUGGCAUGGGUGUAGGCCCAAAAAAAAAGAAGAUUUAUUUGAAUGAAACGAAGGGAAAAAUUAUAAUUUUUGAAGAAAAAAAAAACUGUUGAUGUGUCGUGGUGGGGGGUGGGGGGAACCUCUCCAUAAAUCUAUGGGCCCUGUCAAGGUGUACGUUCCGUGUGUGUGUGUGUGUGUGUGUGUGUGUGUGUGUGUGUGUUUGUGUGGCUCUCAAGUGGCAGUCAUAAAUUUGAAAUUUAUGUUCAUCUCUCUGUCCGUUGGCUUUUGGUCAAGAGAACCUGCCACAAAAGGCGGGUACACCGAGCCAAAGCAAGAACUUUGUUGCUUGUUAAUUAAAUGCCGAUUGCAUCAUCGCCUCUCUUUGUCAUCCAUCCGUCCGUCCGUCCCUCUCUUAUCUUCGCCUCUUCUUGUGUCCAUCGUCCCCAAGCUGUAGCUCCUCUCCUGCCUAUCAAUGCGCUAUGACUGCGCAGAAAUCGCUCUGUUGUUGUCGCUAAUCGUUGCUCAUGUACCGACAUGGACAUGCCGCAUUUGUCUUUGUCUUUGGUCUUUGACACAUUUUUCUUAUGAAUUUUCCUGUAUGUAUUUUUUUUUUUACUUUGAAAUACCCUGUACUUUGGAGGUAUAGAGAGAUAGAGCCAUGAAACAUGGCCCAAUUGUAUAAAGAUACAGUAUCUAACUGUGCACAAAAAUUUGCUAAAAUCGCAUAGGUUUUGACCAAAAAUCAUCACUUUCUAAUCAACGCUCAGCUCUUUUAUUUGCGAUUUAGAGCAUAUCUUUAAGACCGUUUAAGUAAGGGGUAUUUCUUAGGUCUUAUGGCCGCAAAUUAUUUGUAUCUUCUGCCCUUCCCAUGCCAUGUUUCAAUAUUUUCCUGUUCUGUUGCUUGUUGCGGCAUUUGUUGGACAUGUUUUUGUACUUUUCGAUCCGCUCGGGCUGGUACACACACGUUUUGUAUGCAGAUACAAUUCUGGGCUCAAACCGUUAAGCAUCUUCCCAUGCGAAUGGCUCAUUAAACCCCACACACACACACACACACACACACACACAGAGAGAGAGAGAAUGCAUGAAAAAAAGCACACAAAAAAAAUAAACCAAAAGUUGACCUUCAAAAAACGCACCGAAAUCAAAUGGCAACUCAACCAAGCGAAAAUCAGAGAGAGAGAGAGAGAGAGAGAAAAAAAUACAAAAAAAAAAAGCAUUAACAAAAGCAGAAGCAGAAGCAGAAGCUGCUUGGAAACAGGUUGUUGCCGUCCCUGUCUGACGCUUUUGUUGGCCGCCUUUUGUUAUUGUUAACGUUUUAUGAUGCCUUUUUUCAAGCGGAAAGCCACACAAAGCCCCAGCAGAGUCAAGAGCCUUUCGUAUGGCCCCAAAAUAAACACAAAUUUGAUACUCGAUUGCACUUUGCGAUUAUUUAUGAACAACGCGAUGCAUAAACAAGUUGCGGAAUGCCAAGGGAUCCAUCAGGUGCAGCACAGAUCCACUCACAGAUGCGGAGGGGGCGGGGGGUGCCCCCUCAUACCCUCAGAUCUUAGUAGGGUAUCAAAUAUUCAACAUUUUGGUAGAUUUUUGACCCUGCACGUGCCACAAAUCGCCAACGAAAGAGGGCAGGGCAGGGCAGCAGGCAAUCGUUGCGCGUUUUCAGGUACUAAUCACACGACAAGCUAUAAAAACAACGCCAAAUAUGUGUCGGUUGUCGCGCCAAAGUUCUAAUCAGAAACAGAAAUGGACAUUGGGGCGAAACGAUGACGAAUACGAAUACGAAACGAAUAGAAUUCAUUCCGUCUUAUCGAUGGAUGGUUCCCUCAGAGAUCUCCUCAAACGUGUAUAUUUCAAAGAUCUACUAUUAGGGCACGGGGGAGGGGGGGGAUGGUAAACUUGUAUUUCUCUUUGCUCUCGGAUUCUGUUUUCAGUUGCAUUUCCUUCUUUGUUCACUUUGAUUUCUGGUAUUUUCUGGUUCUAUUCUGUUCUCCUGUUUUUUUUUUCAUGCUCUUUCGCUGUUCUUCCUAUCCUGCUUUCAGUGUUGCCGAGAAUCUUGUUCUUUCCCUCCGUUUAUUGCUGCUUUUCGUCGCUUCUUUUUUGUGUUUCUUUUGCUCUUCUUCAAAAGACGGCCUUCAGUCGUCGUCUUACGGUAAAUACACAGCAAAGAACAACAACAAAAGCGCGCUUUACUAGAUAAAUACAAUACUAUCUGAGAGAUACAUCACGCCGUAAACAGAUCAUCGAACCUCGCUGCUCCGACGACGAGCAGGCGUUGUUGCUGUUUUGGCCUUGAAAUGAUCCGUUUUUUGUUGUUGUUGUUGUUUUUGUUUUUUGGUCAACUUUUUAAUUGUUUCAUUAAUUAAAAGCCACUUUUUUGUUUGUGAUAUUAAUUGAGUUGGCAACGCGGCAGCGGCAGCGGCAGCAGCAGCGGCGCCCACGCAGAGUGCAAGAGCGUCAGCAGAGCAGCGGGGCGGCAGAAACAGCUUUCACCGCUCGCUCUGCCGGGUGACAGGGCGACAAAGCCACAAAAACGACAAAACCCACCACCGAACGAAACCCACCACGGCCACAAGCACAAGAAACAACGGCCCAGCAACAUUUCCAGACACCAAGCGCCUCACCUCAGCGUGUUCGAUCAACAAUAUGCCAUGGAUGUUGCCAGGCCGCCGGCAACAUUCACGGCAUGUUGAGAAUCGGGGUGGAUUUCACCACCUUCGGAUGCGCUGCUGGCAUUGGCUGCCCCGCUUGGCCUGUGGCCCGGCAACAUGUUCGCCGGCAACAUGAGUCGGGCAGACCUGAAUGCAGUAGCCGACCGAAAUGUAUCUCCACACAUUGAGCGAUGUAUCUCACAAACUGAACUCGGCCGCGGAACCGUCAACAACAUCAGCUCGUCGAAUUUUCUUCUCAAUUCAAAAAAGUCCGUUGAAUUAGUCCGUUGAAUUAGCUCCAGCGCGCCGCUACUAGCGUUUAUAAACGCUCCGUGUGCUUCGCGUGACUUCAACACAAACAUUUCGUAAAUUGCAAAUUGUUUUAAAAUUUGCGCCUUCCUGUGCUAAAUGGAAAACAAUUUUCGUGUUCAAAAAAAAAAAAGCAAACAUAACGAAGGAAAAUUGAAAAAUCACAUGAAAUAAACUUUACGGAAAAUCGAAAAUAAAUAUUUUUUUUGUUUUUUCUAAAAUCAGUUUGAAAAGCCAAAGAAUACAAGAAAAUUAAAUAAUUUCCAUGGAAAUUUUUUUUAAAUAUUUUUUUUUGAAAAUGAAAUUUAUUUCAAUUCAAUAAAAUCGCGCAAAAAACGCGCUUACAACAAACAAACAAAUAAAAAGAAAAAAGGAAGAGAAUAAAAACCGCAGAGAAAACGCUGACAAGGCAGCAGACGGUGACAGCGGCGCAAACGAUCAUCAUCAACAAUCAUCUAGAGUUGCCCCGCGGCUAGAGUUCCCCCCGCGCCAGGCCCCGCUGCUGCCGAGAAGUCUCCCCGAAAACAACAAAACAACAAAAAAAAAGAGUUGGAAUUUUUGAAGCUGGUAUGUGGCGUGGUUUUUUUUUUAAAUAUUCUCUUCUUUUUUUUUUUGCUGUUUCUGCCGCGUUUCAAGUUUUUUUUGCGCGCCGUCCCUUUUGGGGGCGGGAGGAGAAGAUGUGUGUAUUUUUUUACCUGGUUUUUGCCAUCAGCGAGGUAUAGAGUUCCUACGUUCAUAUUAUAAACUCGUAGGAACUUCAUACCGUGCUCUUGGAAGACCAAAAGACAACGAAAAACAAACAAAAGGCGUUUUAAAACGCCUGCAAACGCUGCACUCAAAAAUUGAUAAAAGUGAAAGAGAAAUAUCCAUGUAUAUAUCCUAAAUGACUAAAUAAAGGCUAAAAAAAAUCCUUGAGAAUCGUUAAAAAUGUCCAAUCGGAGAUAUUUUUUUAUUUGUGAUAUUUUUUCAUCAAGUGCUGUUUAAAAAGCAGUAAAGACGCGCCAGAAACGCGUCGAACGGCCAAAAACGCGCCAGAAACGCGCGAGAAACGGUAGCCAACGUUGGGAAAUCUUUGUUGUUUUUUUUUUUUAUACAGAAAUUACGUGCCUCAGCAAUCGAAGAAGAAUUUUACAGCUAUCGUGUUCGACUUUUCCAAGAGAAUUGCCCUUUUUUUUACACAAAAAAAUAAAUAGCUGACCAAAAGCCAAGCAUCAGAUACAGAUACAUUACCCGAUAAGAUAUGGAAGCAUGGGGUUCCUGGGAAUGGGGACGGGGACGGGCCGAGGGGCCACGGAGCCACUUGAGGAGUAUUUGUCAUAAAUUAACGAAUGUUAAACGCUAAUCUUAACUAAAACAUCAAUUUCAAUUAAUUGCCACAAGUGCAGAUAGCGCUCGUAGCGUAUCUGUAUCUGUGUGUGUGUAUCUGUGUGUGCGUGUGUGUGUGUGUGUGUGUAUUUGAAACCCUAACCCUUGGACGGGCUCUGGUAAUUGGCCUCUCUCGAAUGGCAAAUGGCGAUUCCGAUUGGCUGAGGUUUUAAUUGGCAAAGUUAGAGGCUGGGAUAAUCGGUAGCUAAAUGAUUUAUCCACUAACAAGAUAUUCCAGAACUAACGUAAAUAUAUCUGGAAAUUACUGGCCAGAGUACGAUAUGUUUUUCAUCUUUCUGAAAGGCUCAAAAUAGGCUCAAAUAUUCCACAUUUUAGAGAGUACCUAAAAGUACCUGAAAAGAUCUGCUAAUUUCUAGAGUUUUUCGGACCAGUUUUGGUUAGAAAUGUAUCCCCAUGGAAGCAGGGAAAACCAUUCGAAAGAGCAUUCUUCUUAAAGCCGAAAGACCUUCAACUGUUGGGGCCUUUUUCGUGGAACAAUCUGACAUUCCGCAGACAAACGAAAGCCCGAAAACAACUGCCAGCUCGAUGCACACAACCUACUCGUACCUCCUCUAUAAUCAUCAUCAUCAUGGACAGCAGCCAGACCUUCCACAUCCCCCAAUUGUUGCAGGGGGAGGGGGGGGCACGGGCACGGGCACGCACGCACUCUGGACAAGAGAUAUCUGCAGCGAGGAGUAGAUAUGGAGACCCAUAUAGAUACAAUAUACUCGCGUACUGCCAUUGCAGAAAAUGCCAAACUGUGUGGAACCGAAACCAAUUCCGAGGUCUCUUCUCUCUCUCUCUAUCUCUCUCUCUCUCUCUCGCUCUGGAUGGGUGUUGUUGCGGCCGCGCCUGAUAGUAGAAGAAGUGCAUACAAUUUUUUAUUUCUUUGCUAUGGCCGAUAAGCGGAGGGCGAAUAUAAAAAAUAAUAACGCCUGACACACACCACAUCGCGCCACAAUGAUAAUUUUAUCAGCAGCUUCAGAGGAGAGCAGAGGGGAACAACAAAAAUUAAAUAUAUAUUUACUUUAUCGUGCGAAAUGGGGAGUGGAAUGGACUGGAAUGGAAUCGAAUGGAGCGCCGAGUGGAGUGGAGCGCCCAGUGGAGCGAAGGGUUUCCUUAUGGCACUACAAAUGUGCUGCAGACGAGCAUUGCCUCUUGUCAGUGGCCCAAACGGCCUGCCACAUGCGGGACAGCAUUUCAGUUGUUGGACUCCGACUGCCACUGCCACUUUUGCCACUGUUGCCUCUGUUGCAGUUAAUUUAAUUUCAGCUCAUAAAUCAAAACUGUGCCGCGCAAAAUGUUUGCUUUUGACGCGCUGUUUUUGUCGCCAGCCGAACAGAACAGACUCCCAGGCCACGGGGAAAAUGGACAACUGGAACUGACACUGUUGGCGGCAGCAGCAGCAGGGGCGUGGGGCAGGAGGAGUGGCAGACGACGAGGCCUGGAUGUUUGACAAACAAUGGCCAGAAAAUGUGGGGCCCCACAAUGUACAUUUUGGCCAAUUGCUGGGCAGGAAAUAAUAAUGUUAGGGAUUUGGUAAGACAAGAAAAACAAACGCAAAUCAACAGAGAAAGCGGAGGAGAAAUCCACUAAAGAAAACCUCUAACCUCCGAGACUUUCAAAGAAGAAACCAUCUCCAUGGCUACAGAUACAGAUACAACCUACAGAUAGAUGUCUAUAAUUCUACAACAAAAAAAUCAUCAUUAAAACACCAAGUGCGUUUUAAAACGCACUCAAAUCGCCCCAGAAACGCGUGGCAGACGCGCACAAACUGUUUGCGAUGCAAACAAAUAUUUCAAUUUUCAUUUUACCAACAAACACACACAAUAUUUGUAUUUAUUUAUUUAUUUUUUUCAUGGAAAUGUUAUGAAACACUUAUUUUAAGUUGUAAUUUAUAUUUAUAGAAAUAUAUGUAUUAUUUAUGGAAUACUUGUAUGUAUUUUUGCACAAAAACAAACAAAGCGAAAACUCUGAAUUGAAAAAUG